rnacentral:pre_miRNA from 1 species
GUUUAUGCAAGAUAUUGGUCCGGAUCAAUCAUAAAAACUUAUUUCUCCAUCUUUCUUAUUAUCACACUUAUAUAUAUAUAUAUAUAUAUAUAUAUGUAAGUUUUUUAUUUGAUUGAGCCGUGCCAAUAUCAUGCAUAUAACU